AAACCAACUUAAUACAAACCAGAUCUGCAGCAAAUGAAUUAUAAGGCCUUACCAGUUGUAAUGGAGCCGAGAAACUCAUAUUUUUUUUAUCAUACAAGAGGCGUUAGAACAGAUUUUAUUGUUCAGCUAGGCUUAAGAUCGGUAACGAGAUUAAAAACAGAGAAAUUAGGGAGAAAACAGCAAAUCUGAUCGGUGCCAACGCACCUCUAGGACUAUGAGGCAGGAAGGAUACAAACCUCAGUUAAACUAAAGUUCUUGGGGAACUGGUAAAGUAACUGUGGUACUAGUGAGCGUCAAGAUGAUUGAUAGCAACAUUUUGUGUUAUUAUUAAACAAUUUGGUAUAUUGAUAAAACUAUGAAGCCAUUCCUUUCAUAAAAUAAUAUUACAAUGUCGAAGGGAUAAAGAGUUUGUAUGACCAUACCUUUGAUCAUUAUCUCACUAUUCAACAUAAGUUUUUGAAUCAUUACAUUACAGUUUCAGCUUAAAUUAUAUACAUUAGAAGUUCCAAUGACCCAAGGACAUCUUCAACGAGGAUCGAGGUCGGUGAUAGUAAUAUCAUUAAUGCUCUGAGAAUAUGACCUGAUUGUAGAUUGGCUCGACUCAAGUUCCUCCAAACCUUGUUUCUGGUUGCGUCUAUUUU